GGAAUCUUGGACAAUGGGCGCAAGCCUGAUCCAGCCAUGCCGCGUGGAUGAUGAAGGCCCUAGGGUUGUAAAAUCCUUUCGUUGGGGACGAUAAUGACGGUACCCAAAGAAGAAGCUCCGGCUAACUUCGUGCCAGCAGCCGCGGUAAUACGAAGGCGGCUAGCGUUGUUCGGAUUUACUGGGCGUAAAGCGCGUGUAGGCGGACUUGUAAGUUGGGGGUGAAAUCCCGAGGCUCAACCUCGGAACAGCCUACAAAACAUCAAGUCUGGAGCAAGAUAGAGGCAAGUGGAAUUGCGAGUGUAGAGGUGAAAUUCGUAGAUAUUCGCAGGAACACCAGUGGCGAAGGCGACUUGCUGGAUCUUUGCUGACGCUGAGACGCGAAAGCGUGGGGAGCAA
rnacentral:rRNA from 1 species